rnacentral:rRNA from 1 species
GGACGACGCUGGCGGCGUGCCUAACACAUGCAAGUCGAGCGAGAAUCUUUCAAAUGAUCCCUUCGGGGUGAUUUUGGAAGAGGAAGCGGCGGACGGGUGAGUAACGCGUGAGUAACCUGCCCUUUGGAGGGGGACAACAUUCCGAAAGGAAUGCUAAUACCGCAUAACAUAUAUUUAAGGCAUCUUAGAUAUAUCAAAGAUUUAUCGCCAAAGGAUGGACUCGCGUCUGAUUAGUUAGUUGGUGAGGUAACGGCUCACCAAGACCGCGAUAGGUAGCCGACCUGAGAGGGUGAACGGCCACACUGGAACUGAGAAACGGACCAGACUCCUACGGGAGGCAGCAGUGGGGAAUAUUGGGCAAUGGAGGCAACUCUGACCCAGCAACGCCGCGUGAAGGAAGAAGGCCUUCGGGUUGUAAACUUUUGUUGUAGAGGACGAAGAAAGUGACUGUACUCUACGAGGAAGCCCCGGCUAACUAUGUG